UACGUAGGGGGCAAGCGUUGUCCGGAAUCAUUGGGCGUAAAGCGCGCGUAGGCGGCCAGGUAAGUCCGUUCUGAAAGCCCGGGGCUCAACCCCGGGAGGCGGAUGGAUACUGCUUGGCUCGAGUCCGGAAGAGGAGAGUGGAAUUCCUGGUGUAGCGGUGAAAUGCGCAGAUAUCAGGAAGAACACCUAUGGCGAAGGCAGCUCUCUGGGACGGUACUGACGCUGAGACGCGAAAGCGUGGGGAGCGAACAGG
rnacentral:rRNA from 1 species